CUUUUAAUUCCUCAUGUCAUGGGAUGGCCCUUGAGAUUGUGGGCAUAGAUAAGAAGGAGUCCUUCUCUUGGAAAGAAAGUGAAUGCCUUAAAUAAAUGAGAUGCCACAUUUAUUUUUGGCGUUAAAGAAGAGUAGCCCUUCUCUUUUACUUCUCUUAAAUUCCUUACCAUUUAUUCCACGUGUUUCUUAUUUCAUCAUGUCAUAUGAUGGCUAUUUGAAUUAUGGGCGUAG
rnacentral:lncRNA from 1 species